UGGGGAAUAUUGCACAAUGGGGGAAACCCUGAUGCAGCCAUGCCGCGUGUGUGAAGAAGGCCUUCGGGUUGUAAAGCACUUUCAGUUGUGAGGAAAGGUUGGUAGUUAAUACCUGUCAGCUGUGACGUUAACAACAGAAGAAGCACCGGCUAACUCCGUGCCAGCAGCCGCGGUAAUACGGAGGGUGCGAGCGUUAAUCGGAAUUACUGGGCGUAAAGCGCACGCAGGCGGUUUGUUAAGCUAGAUGUGAAAGCCCCGGGCUCAACCUGGGAUGGUCAUUUAAAACUGGCAGACUAGAGUCUUGGAGAGGGGAGUGGAAUUCCAUGUGUAGCGGUGAAAUGCGUAGAUAUCUGGAGGAACAUCAGUGGCGAAGGCGGCUCCCUGGCCAAAGACUGACGCUCAUGUGCGAAAGCGUGGGUAGCAAACAGGAUUAGAUACCCUGGUAGUCCACACCGUAAACGAUGUCUACUAGCUGUUGGAGAACUUAAUUCCUGAGUAGCGAAGCUAACGCGCUAAGUAGACCGCCUGGGGAGUACGGCCGCAAGGUUA
rnacentral:rRNA from 1 species